UGGGGCCUUUGAAGGCAAUUACGUUUAGAUGCCAUCCUUAUGCUGGAAUUAGCACCCUUAUGGGAAGAGACACCAGGGAGCUUGUUUCUUCUCUCUCUCCCCACCAUGUGAGGACACAGGCGAAGGCGGCCAUCUGCAAGCCAGGAAGAGAGCCCUCACCACAACCUGACCAUGCUGGCAACUUGAUCUUGGGCUUGCCAGCCUCCAGAACCAAAGUUGGUACUCCCUAAUGUGCCACUGACUUGGGGAAUGGCCACCAUCACCAAGUUCUGUGUCACAGCCACCCACAGAGUACAUGUUGGCCCCUCUCUCCUUUAUAGAAAGGUUUAGAUUUGGAACUCCUUGCCCCAAGAAGCUCUUGCUCUCCAGAAAUUCAUGUGCAGUAUUUGAUGAUAUCACAAUAAAAAUUUAGAGCACAUGGCACGCAAAGUACAAAAGUAAAACGUCAAUACUAACCGGAAAUGACAAGAUUACAG
rnacentral:lncRNA from 1 species